GGCUCUAUAGUUUAAUAGUAAAACACCGGGUUGUUAACCCGGAGAUCUUGGUUCGACUCCAGGUAGAGCUA
rnacentral:tRNA from 1 species